rnacentral:rRNA from 1 species
CCAAGGAGUCUAACAUGUGCGCGAGUCGUAGGGUUACGCUCAAAGCCCGAAGGCGCAAUGAAAGUGAAGGUCGGCCUCGAUUGCCGUUACCUAGGCGGGAUCCGUUCGGGCUUACCGGUCGUUCGCGGCUGAGCCCGGCGGCGCACCGCCGGCCCGUCUCGACCGCAUCGCCGGUGAGGCGGAGCGAGAGCGUACACGUUGGGACCCGAAAGAUGGUGAACUAUGCCCGGGCAGGACGAAGCCAGAGGAAACUCUGGUGGAGGUCCGUAGCGAUUCUGACGUGCAAAUCGAUCGUCGGACCUGGGUAUAGGGGCGAAAGACUAAUCGAACCAUCUAGUAGCUGGUUCCCUCCGAAGUUUCCCUCAGGAUAGCUGGUGCUCGAGGAGGGCAGUCUCAUCCGGUAAAGCGAAUGAUUAGAGGCCUUGGGGCCGAAACGACCUCAACCUAUUCUCAAACUUUCAAUGGGUGAGAAGUCCGGCUUGCUUGACUGAAGCCCGGACGUCGGAUGCGAGCGCCCAGUGGGCCACUUUUGGUAAGCAGAACUGGCGCUGUGGGAUGAACCAAACGCCGGGUUACGGCGCCCGAUGCGGACGCUCAUAAGACCCCAUGAAAGGUGUUGGUUGCUAUAGACAGCAGGACGGUGGCCAUGGAAGUCGGAA